rnacentral:tRNA from 1 species
UUAGCUCAAUCAGUAGAGUAUGAGACUCUUAAUCUCAGGGUCGUGGGUUCGAGCCCGACA